CGGGAUGUGGCGUAGUUUGGUAGCGCGCUUGACUGGGGGUCAAGAGGUCGUCGGUUCAAAUCCGGUCAUCCCGA
rnacentral:tRNA from 1 species